UACGUAGGGUGCGAGCGUUAAUCGGAAUUACUGGGCGUAAAGUGUGCGCAGGCGGCAGAGCAAGUCGAGUGUGAAAGCCCCGGGCUUAACUUGGGAAUUGCGCUCGAAACUACUUUGCUGGAGUGUGGCAGAGGAAGGUGGAAUUCCACGUGUAGCGUGAAUGCGUAGAGAUGUGGAGGAACACCAAUGGCGAAGGCAGCCAUUCUGGGCCAACACUGACGCUCAUGCACGAAAGCGUGGGGAGCAAACAGGA
rnacentral:rRNA from 1 species